rnacentral:tRNA from 1 species
AAGGGAGACCUAAUUCAGGUAGGAGACGAAAAAAAAGUAGUCCCAACCAAGAAUCAAUCCCAAAAGGUCGGAGCGAGGCGAAAUUGGCUUUCAAACUAGGUUCUGGGUUCACACAAGACCUGAAUCAGGAACAAGGGCUAUUAGCUCAGGUGGUUAGAGCGCACCCCUGAUAAGGGUGAGGUCCCUGGUUCGAGUCCAGGAUGGCCCACCUGCACAGGUGGCAAAAACAAGAGAAGCGAGGAAUCAGCACCUUAUCUUAUCUAUAUAUAUAUAGGAGAGAAUGCUGGCUCUGAGUAAAGAGUCCAGAGGAACCUUGAAAACUGCAUAGAGCUAGGUGAAAAAGCCAAAGAAGAAGACCGCAA